GGUGUCUCAGCUCAGCACUGCCCUGAAGGUAGCCUCAACGCGACUACUGCAGAUACUGGCCAUCAGCACCGGGACGUACGCAGACAAGCUAGGACCCAAGGUGGUCCAGUCCCUAUUGGACUUGCUGUGUAGCCAGCUGAAGAACCUUCUGUCCCAGGCAGGAGUCAGCCUGCUCACUGCCGACCCAGGGAAGAACCAGGAGAACCAGGACAAGAAGUCUGAGGAUGGAGCCGACCCAGAGAAGACAGACCUCCGAGCGUUGGUGCGUAAACAGCACACAGCAGAGCUUCACCUGGGAGACUUCCUGGUGUUCCUGAGGCG